rnacentral:lncRNA from 1 species
UCGAACGGAGAAUUUAGCAGAGUUUUGAGAUAAGAAAUGAGCUUAUCGAAUAACGUAUCUGGGUCCCCCUUUUAUAGGCGGAGGAAGCAACGAAUUGAUGGCGACGUUUGUAACCGUCUGGCAGUGGACUGUCCAGGGUCAGGCGGAGUUUGCUGCGAAGCGUAGUGGAACGGACCCGUGGCUAUCGCUGGGGCGUGCCACGUGG